rnacentral:lncRNA from 12 species
AACUUCAUUCACGACAGACAUAAUCACUCUAACUACGGCACAAAUUGUUUGUUUCAGGCUUGCAGCUGUGGCUCAUUGGCUGCUGGCAGAGCUCUCCUCACUGAUUUGAGCACAACAAUACCUUCCCUGCAUGCCUUUCCAUUGCAAAGGCAGGUUUUGCAGAAGAUUACUUAGGUUGCAAAGAAUUUUGCUAGUUUUGUGCUGAGGAGCAACACAGAUGAGCACAGAGAUUAUGGGGGAAAAGCCAGUAUGAGCCAUUCCUAUUUGAAACUGGGGAAAAGCAACCCGGAGUCAGCUGGGCAAGGUUCCAGAUGGAUGGUGUGUCUGAAAUAACACUUCAGCUGUACUCAUUUAGAUAACUAGAUGUGUGUCCAGAACACUUCCAGACUCAGCCACUAUGCACUGGAGGAUAGAAGAAAGCACAUUUCUAGUCUUUAUCAGGAGAUAUGUACAGGACUCGUCAAGCAACCUCCUCUAGUGAAGUGCAUCUUCUGUUUAAACAGCCAAUAUUCUGCUUGCACAGCAUAUGGGGCUGGAAGCAAAGACCUUGCACUUGGAGCUGCACUGUGCUCAUGAGCUGCACCCAGCAUCACAAUCAGUUGUAGAGGUUCAAGUUCUACCCCAAUAACCAUUUUCUUUUAAUACUUUUGAAGAGUUCUCCUUGAAGGGAGUGUGGUGCCUCUCCUCCAGCAUGCAUAUGGUGUGAGUGGAGUAAGCUGCUUCCAGAGGCUGCCCUAUCUUUGGAAAACUGCUGCUGUGCCUUCACAAUGUGGUGUCUCAGGUAGCAGGCAUGGGGCAGUGUCUCUUUCCCACUGACUGACUUCUGAUCCUCUCUCAGGCCAGCCCACAUCUUCCACAGGAGCCGCAGGGCUCUGAG